rnacentral:rRNA from 1 species
AGAGUUUGAUCUUGGCUCAGAUUGAACGCUGGCGGCAGGCUUAACACAUGCAAGUCGAGCGGGGAAGAGUAGCUUGCUACUUUACCUAGCGGCGGACGGGUGAGUAAUGCUUAGGAAUCUGCCUAUUAGUGGGGGACAACAUCUCGAAAGGGAUGCUAAUACCGCAUACGUCCUACGGGAGAAAGCAGGGGACCUUCGGGCCUUGCGCUAAUAGAUGAGCCUAAGUCGGAUUAGCUGGUUGGUGGGGUAAAGGCCUACCAAGGCGACGAUCUGUAGCGGGUCUGAGAGGAUGAUCCGCCACACUGGGACUGAGACACGGCCCAGACUCCUACGGGAGGCAGCAGUGGGGAAUAUUGGACAAUGGGGGGAACCCUGAUCCAGCCAUGCCGCGUGUGUGAAGAAGGCCUUUUGGUUGUAAAGCACUUUAAGCGAGGAGGAGGCUACCGAGAUUAAUACUCUUGGAUAGUGGACGUUACUCGCAGAAUAAGCACCGGCUAACUCUGUGCCAGCAGCCGCGGUAAUACAGAGGGUGCAAGCGUUAAUCGGAUUUACUGGGCGUAAAGCGCGCGUAGGUGGCCAAUUAAGUCAAAUGUGAAAUCCCCGAGCUUAACUUGGGAAUUGCAUUCGAUACUGGUUGGCUAGAGUAUGGGAGAGGAUGGUAGAAUUCCAGGUGUAGCGGUGAAAUGCGUAGAGAUCUGGAGGAAUACCGAUGGCGAAGGCAGCCAUCUGGCCUAAUACUGACACUGAGGUGCGAAAGCAUGGGGAGCAAACAGGAUUAGAUACCCUGGUAGUCCAUGCCGUAAACGAUGUCUACUAGCCGUUGGGGCCUUUGAGGCUUUAGUGGCGCAGCUAACGCGAUAAGUAGACCGCCUGGGGAGUACGGUCGCAAGACUAAAACUAAAACGAAUUGACGGA